GAUGAACGCUGGCGGCGUGCCUAAUACAUGCAAGUCGGACGGAGCGCUUCGGCGCUCAGUGGCGAACGGGUGAGUAGCACAUGGGCAACCUGCCUCAAAGAGGGGGACAACAGUUGGAAACGACUGCUAAUACCGCAUAAGCCCACAGCUCGGCAUCGAGCAGAGGGAAAAGGAGUGAUCCGCUUUGAGAUGGCCUCGCGUCCGAUUAGCUAGUUGGUGAGGUAACGGCCCACCAAGGCGACGAUCGGUAGCCGGACUGAGAGGUUGAACGGCCACAUUGGGACUGAGACACGGCCCAG
rnacentral:rRNA from 1 species